rnacentral:rRNA from 1 species
GAUGAACGCUGGCGGCGUGCCUAAUACAUGCAAGUCGAACGAAACUUCUUUAUCACCGAGUGCUUGCACUCACCGAUAAAGAGUUGAGUGGCGAACGGGUGAGUAACACGUGGGCAACCUGCCCAAAAGAGGGGGAUAACACUUGGAAGCAGGUGCUAAUACCGCAUAACCAUAGUUACCGCAUGGUAACUAUGUAAAAGGUGGCUAUACUACCGCUUUUGGAUGGGCCCGCGGCGCAUUAGCUAGUUGGUAGGGUAAAGGCUUACCAAGGCAAUGAUGCGUAGCCGAAUUGAGAGGUUGAUCGGCCACAUUGGGACUGAGACACGGCCCAAACUCCUACGGGAGGCAGCAGUAGGGAAUCCUCCACAAUGGGCGAAAGCCUGAUGGAGCAACGCCGCGUGGGUGAAGAAGGUCUUCGGAUCGUAAAACCCUGUUGUUAGAGAAGAAAGUGCGUGAGAGUAACUGUUCACGUUUCGACGGUAUCUAACCAGAAAGCCACGGCUAACUACGUG